CCGUAAGUUUUCUGAGGGUGUCUCAUCUAAAACUCCUUCUCCUACUUCUCAUCUUUAAAAGUGUCCAAAUCAAGAAAAAAGAGGCAUCUGAUCGACCAUCGAAGAAGGAUCAGUGCAGUACUAGCAUACUGUGUUGAUUUCCUGGAUCAGGACUUCUGAUCGUGAUUCGUGGGCUUGUGUGGAUGACUCCUAGAGGUCGGAUGUAUGUGUGGUUCACAACAUCAUCCUCAAACCCG
rnacentral:lncRNA from 1 species